GAUGAACGCUAGCUACAGGCUUAACACAUGCAAGUCGCGGGGCAGCAUGGGGGUUGCUUGCAAUCCCCGAUGGCGACCGGCGCACGGGUGAGUAACGCGUAUCCAACCUGCCCUUCACCACGGGAUAACCCGGCGAAAGUCGGACUAAUACCGUAUGUUGUCCAUUGACGGCAUCCGAUUUGGACGAAAGGCUUGGCGGUGAGGGAUGGGGAUGCGUCCGAUUAGCCAGACGGCGGGGUAACGGCCCACCGUGGCUACGAUCGGUAGGGGUUCUGAGAGGAAGGUCCCCACACUGGAACUGAGACACGGUCCAGACUCCUACGGGAGGCAGCAGUGAGGAAUAUUGGUCAAUGGGCGUAAGCCUGAACCAGCCAAGUAGCGUGCAGGAUGACGGCCCCAUGGGUUGUAAACUGCUUUUAUGCGGGGAUAAAGUGGCCCACGUGUGGGCUUUUGCAGGUACCGCAUGAAUAAGGACCGGCUAAUUCCGUG
rnacentral:rRNA from 1 species